rnacentral:tRNA from 1 species
ACAUCGGUGGUUCGGUGGUAGAAUUCUUUCCCUUCAUGCAGGAGGCCCAGGUUUGAUUCCUGGCCAAUGCA